GUCGGUCUGUGUCAAGUGCGUCAUGUCAGCGUCGUCUUGAUCUGUCCACCCGUUAUUUUCAAAUGUUACAAAACAAAAAUGAGCAAGCUUGACCGCAAUACAAGUCACAAACCAAGUAUGAAUAUGAAUAUUGACUACAAAUAAAAUGACUAUGGGGGUAUCAUAGAGCAUGGGUUUGCUCCGCUCCCUGGUCAUAGCAUAUUUGUUCACAUACAUUAUUACUUAUUUGGGCUUAGUUGGCGCUCUAUUGUAUGUCAGAAGUUGCAUAGUGCAGCAGGAAUUUGCAAGUCAACCUGAAGAAAUAUAACAAUAUGAAUGAAACAUCUGUUAAGAAUUGAAAAAUAUUUAUUACAAAAUGUAAAAGCUUUAUAAAAUGGACGGCUUACGAAAACAUUUCAAGUUUCCAGAUAUAAUUAAAAGUGCUUCGGAAACGGGAUAGUUGCGAAAAACCCACCUAAAUUCGGUUGACUUCACAAACCAAGCGCUACAUAGCAGAUAGCGCUGUAGCUAAAAGAUGGUCUCAAUGUAUUAAAACUAAUUGGUAGGCGGGUUUAGCACGAGUGCACCACCACUACAAUUAAUAACCCAACCACAAAAUUAAAAUUUAGAAAAAACGGUCGGGCCGCGACAUAGUAGACCGAUUUUCUUGAAACAUGGCUAAGAACACUCCCAACUAACACAGCUUUCAGACAAAAAAAAAACUUAAUCUAAAUCGGUUCAUCCGUUCGGGAGCUACGAUGCCACAGGCAGACAGACAGACACGUCAAACUUGUAACACCCCGUCGUUUUUGCGUCGGGGGUUAAAAAAAGUCUGUUAAUAUAUCUCACGCGCGAGAUACUGUCGUUUAAAAGUAUCCUGUUUCCGAAUAUACCCUAAAGAUCCUUAUACAUUUAGCGUGUUGAUCAAAUCACAAAAGUGUGUGAUGAUAGAAAUUGCAACCAAUGUUUAAUUGCAUAUUAAUUGCACAUGAUCUACUGUAUGUGGGCAUUAUUCAACUUCUACAAAUGUUUAGGUAUUAACAGUUGAUGUUACAGAUAUUUACAUAUUUGCCUUAUUACACAGCAGUAAAGUACAAAAUUGUAAGCUUUCCUGAUGUCAAUUGUAAUUUUUUAUAAGUGUAACUUAAUCAAUAAACCAAUUACUUGCU